CAACAACAUCGAUCAUUAAAUUAAAACCAUGAAUGAAUUAUCACUAUCAUCAAUUAUAACCUACUGUAUUAGCAAAAUGAUUUAUCCUCUCAAUAUUUUCAGUUUAACAAGGAAUCUAGACACAGAGUCUUCCUCUGUUGUCUAGUAUUGCGCUUGCUUUAGGGUAUUUUGGUAAAAAAACAUCUGGUUUCUUCCUAUCUUGCAGACUCAGCAGCUUCUUCUCAGUCGCUUACCUCUUGUGUCUACCUAAUUCAAAGUAUCAAAUUCAAUUAUCAGAAAUCAAUCUCUUGUACUAAUUUGACAUUUUUUUUCAUUGUGUUUUCACAUAAUGGUCCAAUUGUGUAAACUAAGAUUUUAUCUGAUUACAAGUGAAGUUCACUGGAUUGUAAUCGUCUAUUUAUUCCAAUUGUAUAAACUUAGAGCUCUGGU